rnacentral:lncRNA from 1 species
AUGCGUCGCCUCAGCCGUGUCCCCAAAGGUCUGCCCAUCCCGCUGCUGUCCUCCUCUUUGCCCCUCUGGGCUGUUCCCUUCUCCUGGCAUUCAUUACCUGUAACAACAGUACCCGUCCUCAGCGCCCCGCAGUCCUGGCGUUACUCGGCUGCUUUGUCCCUGCCCCACAGGGGCUCUGCAGCCCCCCAGAGGUCCACCAGCCCCCUCUCCCCUCCACCUCGGGCCCUUCCCGUGGGCUCCCCGAGCACCGCGGUGGGGAGGGAGGCAGUGAGUGGCCCUUCAGCCUGCAGGGGUGGGAGGUGGGAUGGGUGGGUGGAUGGGUGGGUGGAUGGAUGGAUGGAGAGCAGGAUGGAGGGGGAAGGGAGCCCAUGGUAUGUGAGGAAUGUGCCCGGAGCAGAUAACCCCUUCCCGCUGGGUGCUGGGUGCCUGCAGAGCCCUCCCCGGGGAGGUGGCCGGGGGCUGCUGUUGUGCAGCGAAAUGGAGGGUGGGCAGGGAUCCCUGGGAGGGUGGGCAGGGAUCCCCAUCUCCCCGGGAGCCGGGCUGGGGGGUCAGGGGAUGUGCAGGGAGCCCCAUCACCCCCAGACUGGGGGCGGGGGACGGGGGUGCGCAGGGACCCAGGCUGGGGAGGGCCAGGGCAGCCCUGCCAGAGCAGGAGGGGAUGCCUGGGGGGGGAGGUGGGCCAUGGUUAAGAUCUGCCCAAAAUGCCAAGGCACCUGCCUCUGUGUCCCCCCCGGGACUGAGGGCAGUGGGGAGACGCUGCAUGCUGGGCUUGGCAUCUCCCCCUGCACCUGGGGCACAAAGGGGAUGAGCAGGUUUGGGGGUUUGGUGGCCGAGGGUGCAGACAGGGAGCCCUGGGAGCCCCCAGGUACCUCUGGAAGCAGAGAGGGAGCCUGCAGCCGCGGGGACAGCCCUGUGGAAGGGGUGCCAGUGGGCACUGCCCGCUCUUGUGACUUCCCAGGGGACUCAUUAGAGCCUGAGUCUUGCCUGUCCCCAUGUCCCACCCUGCGACAGCCUUAUCUCGCUGUUGCCAAACUGUGUGACAGUCAGGGAAACUGA